ACCAGACUCCUACGGGAGGCAGCAGUGGGGGAUAUUGCACAAUGGGGGGAACCCUGAUGCAGCGACGCCGCGUGGGUGAAGAAGCGCCUCGGCGCGUAAAGCCCUGUCAGCAGGGAAGAAAAUGACGGUACCUGAAGAAGAAGCCCCGGCUAACUACGUGCCAGCAGCCGCGGUAAUACGUAGGGGGCACGCGUUAUCCGGAUUUACUGGGUGUAAAGGGGGCGCAGACGGCGAUGCAAGCCAGGAGUGAAAGCCCGGGGCCCAACCCCGGGACUGCGCUUGGAACUGCGUGGCUGGAGUGCAGGAGGGGCAGGCGGAAUUCCUGGUGGAGCGGUGAAAUGCGUAGAUAUCAGGAGGAACACCGGUGGCGAAGGCGGCCUGCUGGACUGCAACUGACGUUGAGGCCCGAAAGCGUGGGGAGCAAACAGGAUUAGAUACCCGGG
rnacentral:rRNA from 1 species